CCAGGGUGUUCUAGAUAUUCACGGUGUUCUAGAUAUCCAGAGUGUUCUAGAUAUUCAUGAUAACUCUCAGGCGCAAAAGCAUUAUGACCCAGAGGGACAGACCAUGUAGGGGCUGAGGGGUUUUCCAUCUUCCUCAUUUUCUAGGUUCCCUACAGCUAGGGCUGCCAGAUAACACACAAGAUGCUCAGGUACCAGCGCUGAAAAUCCCAGCCACACUCAGAGGGAAAAAGAACUCAUGGACUUUCUGAGAUGUAACUUGGAGGGGAGAACACAGACCGCAGCCCAGGCAGGAGAGGCCUGUGGCCAUCAGUAAUAAGCCAAAAACCUCCACUGUGGCCAAACUGUACCAGAGGAAUACAGGGACCUGCUUCUGUGUGGGUGGAGGGAGAAGAUAAAUUAAUAUGUCUCCAAUUGCAGCAACGUCUCACUUUACCCGAUUCCAUGCAGUUCCAAAGAAGAGCAUGUGACUCCUCAGUGAAUCUCACCUCCCAGCCAGUUACUGGGUCAGGAGUGCCAUCCAAUCCAAU
rnacentral:lncRNA from 1 species